UUACCGAGUGAGGGCCCUCUGGGUCCACCUCCCACCCGUGUUUAUCGUACCUUGUUGCUUCGGCGGGCCCGCCGCAAGGCCGCCGGGGGGCAUCUGCCCUCUGGCCCGCGCCCGCCGAAGACACCAUUGAACGCUGUCUGAAGAUUGCAGUCUGAGCAAUUAGUUAAAUAACUUAAAACUUUCAACAACGGAUCUCUUGGUUCCGGCAUCGAUGAAGAACGCAGCGAAAUGCGAUACGUAAUGUGAAUUGCAGAAUUCAGUGAAUCAUCGAGUCUUUGAACGCACAUUGCGCCCCCUGGUAUUCCGGGGGGCAUGCCUGUCCGAGCGUCAUUGCUGCCCUCAAGCACGGCUUGUGUGUUGGGCUCCGUCCUCCUUCCGGGGGACGGGCCCGAAAGGCAGCGGCGGCACCGCGUCCGGUCCUCGAGCGUAUGGGGCUUCGUCACCCGCUCUGCAGGCCCGGCCGGCGCUUGCCGACACAUCAAUCUUUUUUCCAGGUUGACCUCGGAUCAGGUAGGGAUACCCGCUGAACUUAAGCAUAUCAAUAAGCGGAGGAAAAGAAACCAACAGGGAUUGCCCCAGUAACGGCGAGUGAAGCGGCAAGAGCUCAAAUUUGAAAGCUGGCCCCCUCGGGGUCCGCAUUGUAAUUUGCAGAGGAUGCUUCGGGAGUGGCCCCCAUCUAAGUGCUCUGGAACGGGCCGUCAUAGAGGGUGAGAAUCCCGUAUGGGAUGGGGUGUCCGCGACCAUGUGAAGCUCCUUCGACGAGUCGAGUUGUUUGGGAAUGCAGCUCUAAAUGGGUGGUAAAUUUCAUCUAAAGCUAAAUAUUGGCCGGAGACCGAUAGCGCACAAGUAGAGUGAUCGAAAGAUGAAAAGCACUUUGAAAAGAGAGUUAAAAAGCACGUGAAAUUGUUGAAAGGGAAGCGCUUGCGACCAGACUCGCCUACGGGGUUCAGCCGGUAUUCGUACCGGUGUACUUCCCCGUGGGCGGGCCAGCGUCGGUUUGGGCGGCCGGUCAAAGGCCCUCGGAAUGUAACGCCUCUCGGGGCGUCUUAUAGCCGAGGGUGCCAUGCGGCCAGCCCGGACCGAGGAACGCG
rnacentral:rRNA from 1 species